UUAUGGAGAGUUUGAUCCUGGCUCAGGAGGAACGCUGGCUGCGUGCCUAAUACAUGCAAGUCGAGCGAACAGACGAGGAGCGUGCUCCUCUGACGUUAGCGGCGGACGGGUGAGUAACACGUGGGUAACCUACCUAUAAGACUGGGAUAACUCCGGGAAACCGGGGCUAAUACCGGAUAACACAUGAAACCGCAUGGUUUCAUGAUGAA
rnacentral:rRNA from 1 species